rnacentral:misc_RNA from 1 species
GAAUUGGUGUUCUAUUUCUAACUUACCAGCACCUCCAGGUACUUGUAGAAAACGAAUAGCAUGGCUGAAUGGUAGCAUAAGAUUUAGAAAGCUUGUAAUGCGGCUUUGUAACAUUCUUGGCAAGCGUUAUGUGAAGUAUCUGGAAAAAUCUAAGAAUGCAUCAGUUCAUCAAGAUGACCCCAAACUGAUUUUAACUAGUUCAG